rnacentral:rRNA from 1 species
CAUGUCCAUUAGAAUAAGCAACUAUACAGUGAAACUGCGAAUGGCUCAUUAAAUCAGUUAUCGUUUAUUUGAUAGUACCUUACUACUUGGAUAACCGUGGUAAUUCUAGAGCUAAUACAUGCUAAAAAUCCCGACCUCUGGAAGGGAUGUAUUUAUUAGAUAAAAAACCAAUGCCUUUCGGGCUCUUUGGUGAUUCAUGAUAACUUAACGAAUCGCAUGGCCUUGCGCCGGCGAUGGUUCAUUCAAAUUUCUGCCCUAUCAACUUUCGAUGGUAGGAUAGUGGCCUACCAUGGUUUCAACGGGUAACGGGGAAUUAGGGUUCUAUUCCGGAGAGGGAGCCUGAGAAACGGCUACCACAUCCAAGGAAGGCAGCAGGCGCGCAAAUUACCCAAUCCCGACACGGGGAGGUAGUGACAAUAAAUACUGAUACAGGGCUCUUUCGGGUCUUGUAAUUGGAAUGAGUACAAUUUAAAUCCCUUAACGAGGAACAAUUGGAGGGCAAGUCUGGUGCCAGCAGCCGCGGUAAUUCCAGCUCCAAUAGCGUAUAUUAAAGUUGUUGCAGUUAAAAAGCUCGUAGUUGAACCUUGGGCCUGGCUGCUCGGUCCGCCUAACCGCGUGCACUGAUGCGGCCGGGUCUUUCCUUCUGGCUAACCCCAUGCCCUUCACUGGGUGUGGUGGGGAUCCAGGACUUUUACUUUGAAAAAAUUAGAGUGUUCAAAGCAGGCCUUUGCUCGAAUACAUUAGCAUGGAAUAAUAGAAUAGGACGUGCGGUUCUAUUUUGUUGGUUUCUAGAGCCACCGUAAUGAUUAAUAGGGAUAGUCGGGGGCAUCAGUAUUCAAUUGUCAGAGGUGAAAUUCUUGGAUUUAUUGAAGACUAACUACUGCGAAAGCAUUUGCCAAGGAUGUUUUCAUUAAUCAGUGAACGAAAGUUAGGGGAUCGAAGACGAUCAGAUACCGUCGUAGUCUUAACCAUAAACUAUGCCGACUAGGGAUCGGGCGGUGUCCAACUUCAUGACCCGCUCGGCACCUUACGAGAAAUCAAAGUUUUUGGGUUCUGGGGGGGAGUAUGGUCG